GACAGAGGAGCCAAGCGUUGUCCGGAUUGACUGGGCGUAAAGCGCACGCAGGCGGCCGUGCACGUGGGGUGUGAAAGCGCUCGGCUUAACUGAGCGAUGCCACCUCAUACGGCAGGGCUCGAGCCCGUGAGAGGUCCACGGAAUUGCCGGUGUAGUGGUGAAAUGCGUAGAGAUCGGCAGGAACACCCAGGGGGGAAACCAGUGGACUGGCACGGUGCUGACGCUCAGGUGCGAAAGCGUGGGGGAGCGA
rnacentral:rRNA from 1 species